GUCACAGCGUGGGACGACGCGCCAUGGCAGCAUCCAAAGGGGACAGCCGCGCUGAAGCGCGGUUGUUAUGGAUACACAGCCACGCGUGCGCCGUCGUCACGCGGACGGCUGUACGCCGUGCCAUGAAUGAGGGCGCGCCGUCGCCGUCGCCGUCGCAACGCAGCUGAGUGACGUCCUGGCAGAUAGAACAAACCAGGUGUGAGCACUGUCUUUCCAAAGUUACACUGAAGCCGUUGGAGGAAAGGUCGGACCUCAGGCCUUCCCGCGGCACCAACUACUGACGGCGGAUUUGCUCACAGAUCCUUCACAGCUGUUUCAAAGAACCAUUCUGUGAUUCUAUGAUCUUCCAGGACCCUUCCAAGCCACACCAUCCUGUGGUUCUAUCAUCUUCCAGGACUCUUCCAACACAAACCAUUCUAUGGUUCUGUGAUCACUAAGGAACCUCCCAAGCCACGCCGUCCUGCAGUUCUAUGAUCUUCCAGGACCCUCCUGUGCGGGUGAUGUCACAAUGAUGUGAUGACCUCACAGAGGCCCUGGGGUGGGGCAGGGGCAGUGGGUCAGCGCUGAACCUGCCUGCCUCAUUCUGCGGUUGGUUCUGGUCCAGCGAGGAGCUGUGCGAGUGGUGCAGCAAUGCGGGCCCAGUUUGCCAGCGGGACAUUAACAGAUCUGCAGCGUGUGAAUCUGCUGGAGGAGCUGCUGCAGGCUCAUGAGCGCGCCGUGGAGAAGCGCAAGGCUGAGGCCAGGGAAUCCUUGAUGAAGGAUGCCCAGCAAAUACGGGAAGAAAGAACGACUGCCACGAAAGAUGAGCUGGAUGCAGGUAGG